AUGCCGUCUCCACAGGGUCCAGCCUCCACCGGAGCCGAUCUCUCUGCUGAGCACGCCCCGCGCCGCCGUUGCUGCCGAGGGCUCCUCGGGGCCGCUGCAGCCGGGGAGGCGGCCUGCGGGAGGGCCCUAAAUGUGGCCGACGACUCCAUCCCCGGUCGCAUGUGGCGGCGGUCAGCCCAGCUCCGCCUCUUCCAGCCCAUCUUCUUGGGCAUCAUUGGUAGUGAAGAAGGACUCUUGCAGCUGCGAAAUAUUAGCAGAGGAAAAUCUAUAUGGUUUGAAGGGUUCAGAUUCAUAAUCUGA
rnacentral:rRNA from 1 species